UUCCAGACUCCUACGGGAGGCAGCAGUGAGGAAUAUUGGUCAAUGGCCGAGAGGCUGAACCAGCCAAGUCGCGUGAGGGAUGACGGCCCUACGGGUUGUAAACCUCUUUUGUCGGGGAGCAAAGAGAGUCACGUGUGGCUCAUUGAGAGUACCCGGAGAAAAAGCAUCGGCUAACUCCGUGCCAGCAGCCGCGGUAAUACGGAGGAUGCGAGCGUUAUCCGGAUUUAUUGGGUUUAAAGGGUGCGUAGGCGGAUCUUUAAGUCAGUGGUAAAAUGGGGGGGCCCACCCCCUUCCCGCCAUUGAAACUGGCGCUCUUGAGUGGAAGAGAAGUAUGCGGAAUGCGUGGUGUAGCGGUGAAAUGCAUAGAUAUCACGCAGAACCCCGAUUGCGAAGGCAGCAUGCCGGCUUCCGACUGACGCUGAAGCACGAAAGCGUGGGGAUCGAACAGGAUUAGAUACCCUGGUAG
rnacentral:rRNA from 1 species